CUCUCUCUCUCUCUCUCUCUCUCUCUCUCUCUCUCUCUCUCUUUGAAUCUUUAAUGGUUUUGUUUACUUGUCUGGAUUUGGAGUUUUAUAGGAGGAGAUUCACUGGAUUAUUUGCUUCCUUGGAUUUUUAGGGUUUUGUUAUUUUUAUGCUCUGUCUUCGGAGAAUGGCUAGUCGGCCCAAAGGAAAGUUGGAGAGGGAUUUGCAGAUGGUAGCAGUACCGCAGGAGCCGCCUACAAAAACCAGUGCUCUCCCUUCGCUACCGUUAACCUCUACUUCUGUUGCUGGGGUGGGAUCCAACGCCCUGGUGGAGUACAAGAAAGGCACCAGUUUGAAGGAGGACGACGAAGACCUGGAGGUGAAGUUGCGUCGGAUCAUUGACCACGUCCUUGUCCAUGUCAGCAACACUUCCAGCAGCUCUGCAGGUUCCGGCUCUGGCGACUUCCACCAAAUUCAUCUUGUCUGAACUGAAUGGUCAAAAUUCAAAAUUUUGCAUCCAUACUCACUGUACUAGAAUGAGAACAUUGAGAAGACACAAGGGAAUCACAAUGCAAGCCCACUAACUUGGAUUUUAAUCAAUUGUGCCUGAAUUUAGGCCUACAAGCACCUUAGCCUUUUGACGCCACUCGUGCUAUGAGUAGACCAUAUAGAGGAUUUGUUUUUAUUUAUUUAUUCGAGACCAUUUUUAAUUUAUUGUAAUAAAUAUUAUAUUUUUUUAUUGUGAAGUAAUAUAAAUUUUGUUUAAUAUUCA